rnacentral:rRNA from 1 species
AGGUCAAGUUACAAAGAGCGCAGGGUGAAUGCCUUGGUACCAUGAGCCGAUGAAGGACGCGACAAGCUGCGAAAAGCUGCGGUAAGGCGCACAUAGCCUAUGACCCGCAGAUGUCCGAAUGGGGAAACCCGGCUGGGGUAAAUGCCCAGUCGUCCGUACAUGAAUCCAUAGUGUACGGUCGGGAGACGAGGGGAACUGAAACAUCUAAGUACCCUCAGGAAGAGAAAUCAAACGAGAUUCCGUAAGUAGUGGCGAGCGAAAGCGGAAGAGGCCAAACCUGAAGACUUCGGUCUGAAGGGGUUGCGGACUGUUAAUACGUGAUCUGGAAGCCUAGCAGAAUGAACGGCUGGAAAGCCGGGACCAAAGAGAGUAAUAGUCUCGUAUGCGAAAGGCGGAAGGCACAGACAGCACCAGAGUACCAUGGGACACGAGAAAUCCCGUGGGAAGCCGGGGGGACCACCCUCCAAGCCUAAAUACUCCAUGGUAACCGAUAGUGAAGCAGUACUGUGAAGGAAAGGUGAAAAGAACCCGUAAUGGGGAGUGAAAGAGAACCUGAAACCCUGUGUUUACAAGCAAUCGGAGAGCGUUUAAGCUCGACGGUGUACUUUUUGUAGAACGGUCCGACGAGUUAUGGCAGUCAGCGAGGUUAAGGACUAGAGGUCUGGAGCCGAAGGGAAACCGAGUAUGAAUAGUGCGAAGAGUUGAUUGUUAUAGACCCGAAACCGGGUGACCUAUCCAUGAGCAGGUUGAAGUGACGGUAAAACGUCAUGAAGGACCGAACCCGUGUCUGUUGAAAAAGGCUGGGAUGACUUGUGGAUAGCGGAGAAAUUCCAAUCGAACCCGGAGAUAGCUGGUUCUCCCCGAAAUAGCUUUAGGGCUAGCCUUGAGUAAAGUCUAGCGGAGGUAGAGCACUGAAUGGGCUAGGGGCCUUACCAGGUUACCGAACCUUAUCAAACUCCGAAUGCCGCAAAGAUAGACUCAGGAGUCAGACUGUGACAGAUAAGUGCCAUGGUCAAAAGGGAAACAGCCCAGAUCGCCGGCUAAGGUCCCAAAGUGAUGGUUAAGUGGUAAAGGAUGUGGUUUUGCUAAGACAGCUAGGAUGUUGGCUUAGAAGCAGCCACUCAUUUAAAGAGUGCGUAAUAGCUCACUAGUCGAGUGAAACUGCGCCGAAAAUUCACGGGGCUAAAACCAUCCACCGAAGCCGCGGAAUGAUCUUAAGUGAUUGUUGGUAGGGGAGCGUACUGUAAGCGGAAGAAGCAUGAUUGAAAAGACAUGUGGACGUAUCAGUAGAGAGAAUGUCGGAAUAAGUAACGAGAGCGAAGUGAGAAUCUUUGCCGUCGAAAAUCCAAGGUUUCCUGGGGAAGGGUCGUCCUCCCAGGGUCAGUCGGGACCUAAGGCGAGGCCGCGAGGCGUAGUCGAUGGACAACAGGUAGACAAUCCUGUACUAUUCCCAAGCGAUUGAGUGAAGCAGGGACACAGAACGAGGAAGUCAGCGAGCGGCUGGAAGCGCUCGCCCAAGCGAGGUAGCGGUCAUGUAGUGAAGUACGCAUGGCAACGUGAAGACGUGAUGGAUAGGGAAAACUAAGUACCGAAGAGACGGAGACGGACUGGCGAGAAAAGCUGCUAGCGAGGUUGGGAGUACCCGUACCGCAAACCGACACAGGUGGAUGAGGAGAGAAUCCUAAGACGAGCGGGAGAAGCGUUGUUAAGGAACUCGGCAAAUUAACCCCGUAAGUUCGCAAUAAGGGGAGCCUCAGCAAUGAGGCCGCAGAGAAAUGGCCCAAGCAACUGUUUACCAAAAACACAGGUCUCCGCUAAAUCGAAAGAUGAAGUAUGGGGGCUGACGCCUGCCCGGUGCUGGAAGGUCAAGGGGACAUGUUAGCGCAAGCGAAGCAUCGAACUUAAGCCCCAGUAAACGGCGGCCGUAACUAUAACGGUCCUAAGGUAGCGAAAUUCCUUGUCAGGUAAGUUCUGACCCGCACGAAUGGCGUAAUGACUUGGGCGCUGUCUCAACAACGUACCCGGUGAAAUUGUAGUACUUGUGAAGAUGCAAGUUACCCGCAACUAGACGGAAAGACCCCAUGGAGCUUCACUGUAGAUUGUUACUGGGAUUCGAUAUUGUUUGUACAGGAUAGGUGGGAGACAAUGAAACUAAGGCGUCAGCUUUAGCGGAGUCGCUGUUGGGAUACCACUCUGACGAUAUUGGGUUUCUAACUGUUGGCCGUAAUCCGGUCACAGGACAAUGGCAGUCGGGCAGUUUGACUGGGGCGGUCGCCUCCUAAAGAGUAACGGAGGCGUUCAAAGGUUACCUCAGCACGGUUGGAAAUCGUGCAAUGAGUGCAAAGGCAUAAGGUAGCCUGACUGCGAGACCUACAAGUCGAGCAGGUACGAAAGUAGGACUUAGUGACCCGGCGGUAGAAAGUGGAAUUGCCGUCGCUCAACGGAUAAAAGUUACCCUGGGGAUAACAGGCUGAUCUCCCCCAAGAGUUCACAUCGACGGGGAGGUUUGGCACCUCGAUGUCGGCUCAUCACAUCCUGGAGGGGAAGCACCUUCCAAGGGUUCGGCUGUUCGCCGAUUAAAGUGGUACGCGAGCUGGGUUCAGAACGUCGUGAGACAGUUCGGUCCCUAUCUGUUGUGGGCGUAGGAAAUUUGCGAGGAUCUGUCCCUAGUACGAGAGGACCGGGAUGGACAAACCUAUGGUGCACCAGUUGUCACGCCAGUGGCACAGCUGGGUAGCUAUGUUUGGAUGGGAUAAACGCUGAAAGCAUCUAAGUGUGAAACCCACCUCAAGAUGAGAUUUCCCUGCUCCUAGUGAGCUAAGACCCCUGAUAGACGAUCAGGUUGAUAGGCCGGAAGUGAAAGUGCAGUAAUGCAUGAAGCGGACCGGUACUAAUCGGUCGAAGACUUGACCACAA